AUUGAACGCUGGCGGCAUGCCUUACACAUGCAAGUCGAACGGCAGCACGGGAGCAAUCCUGGUGGCGAGUGGCGAACGGGUGAGUAAUAUAUCGGAACGUGCCCAGUCGUGGGGGAUAACGUAGCGAAAGCUACGCUAAUACCGCAUACGAUCUAUGGAUGAAAGCGGGGGAUCGCAAGACCUCGCGCGAUUGGAGCGGCCGAUAUCAGAUUAGGUAGUUGGUGGGGUAAAAGCCUACCAAGCCUUCGAUCUGUAGCUGGUCUGAGAGGACGACCAGCCACACUGGAACUGAGACACGGUCCAGACUCCUACGGGAGGCAGCAGUGGGGAAUUUUGGACAAUGGGCGCAAGCCUGAUCCAGCAAUGCCGCGUGCAGGAUGAAAGGGCCUUCGGGUUGGUAAACUAGCUUUUGUUACGGAACGAAACGGACUCUUUCUAAUAAAGGGAGCUAAUGACGGUACCGUAAGAAUAAGCACCGGCUAACUACGUGCCAGCAG
rnacentral:rRNA from 1 species